rnacentral:lncRNA from 1 species
CCAUACCCAAGUAGAAUUACAUUUGUACAAAAACAAUGUGACAUCAGUAUAAUAAUCUAUUGUAUUAUACGACACUAUUACAUUGAUCAGAAGUAGAAAUAAUCAAUAUUUCAAUCUCAAAGUGUUGUAUUAGACCUGUCAAACGGCCGGUCAAGCUCAAACGGGGGUAUGCCAUGUUUGUGUCGAGUCAAAGAUGGGCCGAGCCUAAAGGGCGCAGUUGAAAUGAGAGGGGUAAAUAUAGAAAUGAAAAUGGGCAGCAGCACGUAGACAAAGUUGGAAAUGAAAGGAUAUGGAAAGGGAGAUCAGUCAUUGAUAAACCACUUGAAAAUCAGCACACUCCAACUAUAAGAAGAGCAGAAAUCAGUAAAAUAGAUUAUGUGUUUUGAAGAAAAGAAAGUUACUUGAAACAAAAAUAAACGGUUCAAAUUUUGGAAACAUCAUUAAUAAAUCUAAUGGAAUCAAAUCGCAUGACCAUAGAUUUUGUGUAAAACUUAACAUUCCAUUCCGGCAUGAGCAGUCAAUUUCCCAUGGGCAACCAGAGGUAUAAGAGCCCAAUGCAUCCAUAAAUACAGAUAUCCAAAACAUUUAGGCUGGUUGGCAAAUUAAAAUAGGAUUAAUGGAAAAGGAAAACAAAACAAAAUAAAACGUAAAUAAAAAAAAAGAUGAUGCUAGGAGUAUCAAAUUUUGUCUCAAAAAAAUUCACAAAUAAUGUGUCACCAUAAUCUCAUUUGAUUGGUUAUGCUAUAAAUUAUCAUUAAAAUAUUUAAUGUUGUGUCAUUUGAGACAAAAUUUAAAUCCCUAACAUUACUCAUAAAAAAUAGACCUGCCUGCUAAACAUAAUUCUAACUAUAUCUAGUCUUACAAAUAUAUCCUUUUGACAUCAUUACCUUUUCAUUUUUAUUUUUACUUCCACCCUCAUAUUUACUAAAUUUCAAACACAGCCCAAGAAAUCAGUAAAACCAACAACCCACUAUCCUAAUUCACGAACCACCAUAUCAAUAGUACUCUCUCUUUAAAUCUCUCUUUAAACUUUGAUAAAGCACCCAUCAAGUCGCAUAACUUUUCUUUCUAAAGUCAGUUCAGCACAACUAACAUCAUAGCCGAGAUAGAGAUCUACAAGACAUCUAAAAACCCAUAAAAUUGAUAAUUGACAUAUGUAAUAUAUAUACCUUUUAUGCUCAUACUUGUUCCCAAAUUCCGAUUUAAAAUAAAAUGAUUGAAAGUGGCCAAACCAGCUCUACCAUGUGAUUCACAACAUGCAACAUAUGUGUACUAUAAUGUUCAAUUUACCAUAUUCUUGGUAGAUGAAAGGGAUGAUAAUAAUUUGUACCUCUAGAUUACGCAGGAUAAAUACUCACUGCAAAAUCAUGUCACUGUGUGAAGGUAACAACUAAUAAUUAUUUGUCAUACAUCAAAAUAAAAAAUACUUGUACCUUCCUUGCCAAUUAUGAUAGAAAAGUAUGUGAUAUAGGGCAAGCUAAACUCAAAGAAAAGAAAGAAAAGGGAUAAGCUAGGCUUCAAACGUAGGGUUCUUAGGUCUCACACCCAAGGAAAAGAUUCAUUCACAUAUUACUCAAAUAAAUCUAUUUAUAGGAUUCCAUAAUCUUUCUAGCACCUUAGAUACACUGGACCUAUCUAAUUAAUGCAUGUAUGACUUUUUGAUGGAUACAGCUCUAAAAUUGAUAAUUGAUAUAUCUAAUAGAUAUAUAUAUAUAUAUAUAUAUAUAUAUAUAUAUAAUAUAUAUAUAUAAUAUAUAUAUACCUUUUAUGCUCAUACUUGUUCCGAAAUUCCGAAUUAAAAUAAAAUGAUUGGAAGUGACCAAACCAGCUCUACCAUGUGAUUCACAUGUAACAUGCAUACUGUAUGUUCAAUUUACCAUAUUCUUAGUAGAUGAAAGGGAUCAGAAUUUGUACCUCAAGAUUCCACAGGAGUGAAGGUAACAGCUAAUAAUAAUUUGUCACAUGUCAAAAUACAAAAUACUUAUACCUACCUUGUCAAUUGUCAUGACCUCUGAAAAGAAGGUAGAUGAGAAGUCUACAUCAAAGCAAAUUCUCAUGUCUAACGUUGACACCUCUCAAUAUGUAAACCCACUCAAGUUGCGAGAAGAUACACAUACCUUGAGUCAAAAACUUAGCUGGCUUUUCCUCGGCUAAAUGAUGAAUAACAAGUUUCGUACAGCAUUGAGUUAUUUUGUCAGUCGAUGUCUCCUACCUGUCAAAUAAUUCAGUACUGCACAAAAUUACUAUUUGUAUACUUUAAACCAUUAGACGUAAAUCAGUGCAGUACACGGACUAAUACAUUCACAUUUUACUGGACAAAAAAAUGCAACAGUUGUGAUAGAAAGGCAUGUGAUGUAGGGAAAGCUAAACAAAAAGGAAUGAAAAAGAAGGAAAAGAGAAAAUGGAUAAAUUAAACUAGGCGUCACACCUAGGGUUCUUAGGCCUCACACCCAAGGAAAAGAUGCAUCACACAUCAAACAAAAUCAAAAAAUUUCAUUCAAAUUAGCUCAAAUAAAUCUAUUAAUAGGAGUCCAUAGCACCAUAGAUACAUUGAAACUAUGUAAUUAAUGCAUCUAUGUGACUUUUUGACUGAAUACAUGCAUUAAUGACCGACACAAAAUACAUAACGCAAUAAUUAAACUGAUAAAUUCUUUAGACCAGCUCUAAAUCAGUGUCCUUCCCGAAAGUAACUGGAGAAUCAAAUCGGCUCCUUCGUUUAUAGUGUUUUCCACACCUCUCAUGCAUUUCUACAUCAGUAUGAGCAUAGAUUAACAAAAGUUAUACAUGUACAAGUGAGCAGAAAGAAAAUAACACCAGGAGAUUGGCCAAAACAUAAAGCUUUUUUGAAUCAAUUAGAGUGAUAGAACUAACACACUUUGUGCAGGGGGGGAGCAAGGGAGUUGAACAGCAAUGUCAACAAAGCAACCUGCUUUGGUCAUGGAGAUGCCACCAGAUGAGAUCUCCUUAGCUUGUUGCUGGCAGAUUUGUUGGGUACUAGUUUUGUUAGGCCUCGUGUCUGAGCUUGUUACUUUCUUGUAUUACAGGGUUAAAAGGAGAAAAUAAUUAAUCAUAAAAGUGAAAUCCUAGUAGAGAUCACAAAGAAACUUAAUCCCAGUAUGGACAUUUAAACUGAAGAUAUUAGUGUUGUUUGUUACUGUUUAAAACCCUGCGGUAACAAAAGGUACUAAGGUCUCCUUUGAAGACUAAGGGGGUGUUUGUUUAGAGCAGAAUGGCUGAAGGAUUGAAUGGCUGAAUCGAUCAGUACGUUUGUUUUGGUCUGAAUGGCUGAAUCGGUAAAAUGGACGAACUGAAUGACCAAGUCAGAAUUUUUUAGCUGAAUGAAGUAAAAAAAAA